GACUUUGUUACAACCGGCCGUAAUCACGCAUUCUCCACUCACGGUCACCACCUCCGCCUCUCUCGUUCUCCCUCUCAUGUAGCGGCGCAGGAGGGCACUAGCGGCGGCGGUGCGGCCUCGCCGGCGAAGGAAGCCACCACUCCCGCACACCUCACCUCUUCGCGUUGACUUGCCCCUCCCUCCCUCCUCUGCGCGUUGGGCGAGCAACGAAAUCCACGACGCCACCAACCCUAAUUAUUCAGCGCCGCCCCCGACGCGCCGCCGAGAUCCGCUCCUACUCCACCGGCCGGCCGCUGAGGCGCAGCAGUGGUUGAGCUAGCACUUGCGCGCGGUUCUCGUGUUGCCCGUCCUUGACUGGCGCGGCGCGGGCACGAAGCCAGACGCAGCCUCCUCCGGAUCCCCUGCGCCUCUCCCGUAUCCCUUGCAGAUUCCCUCCACGGCACACCAAAUCGACCACGCCUUCCACCAAAUCAAGUUCUCCGCUCCAGAUCGAGUUCUCGGAGGGCUUCUUCGGCGCCUGCGCCGACCUCUCGCCGCUCACGCCGGCGGUGUAGGUCCUCCAAAUCGAGUUCUCCUGCACCAAAUCGAGUUCCUGGAGGACGUUCUACACUUGCGCUGACCCACAGCUGUUCGUGCCGGCGUUGCAGGCCGUCUCCAGCGAGCUCUGAUGCAGGUCGUGGACUCGUGGCCCUGCGGUUUCUGACCGUGAGAAGUUCUGAGGCCUGCGCACUCCAGUGGGCAAUGUAUCCUGAUGUACGCUCUUGAUUAGCUUUUUUUUUUCUUGCACAGCGACACUCCAAUCGGAAGUGUGGGGGUGACAUAUCUGGCAGUGCAUCGAUGCCGCGUACCUCCCUCCGCCUAGCUUCUCUGCAUCGGUGAGUAGGAAUGAGGGGGACCCAAAAUGAUGUGAAGUAUUAACAGAUCAGGAUUUAUGCUAGUACGUAUUAGGCACUUCAACCAUUAAGAUGGGAACACAAUGCUAUGUGCAGUUAGCCUACCAGUAUCUAUUGCCCGGUUCAUACAGUUUUGCCUAAUGUGGUUCCAAAAUAUUCAGUUGGAAAAAAACAAUUUUGUUGUGUAGAUUUUUGUGUAAUUAUGAUUCAGAUCUGUGCCAGCCUGCCAGGAGAUGUUUUGAAUGAUGUUUCUCGUCCGAUUUCACGUGCAAUAGCAUGUUUUAGUCAGAUUGACCAAUUGUAAAGAAAGAGCAUAUAUGUCUAAUUUUUUUUGCAUUCCCCUCC